rnacentral:rRNA from 1 species
AUUGAACGCUGGCGGAAUGCUUUACACAUGCAAGUCGAACGGUAGAGGGGGCAACCCCUUGAGAGUGGCGAACGGGUGAGUAAUAUAUCGGAACGUGCCCAGUCGUGAGGGAUAACGUAGCGAAAGUUACGCUAAUACCGCAUACGAUCUAAGGAUGAAAGCGGGGGAUCGCAAGACCUCGCGCGAUUGGAGCGGCCGAUAUCAGAUUAGGUAGUUGGUGAGGUAAAGGCUCACCAAGCCAACGAUCUGUAGCUGGUCUGAGAGGACGACCAGCCACACUGGGACUGAGACACGGCCCAGACUCCUACGGGAGGCAGCAGUGGGGAAUUUUGGACAAUGGGCGCAAGCCUGAUCCAGCAAUGCCGCGUGCAGGAUGAA